CAUGGUGCAGUUCUUUUGCAAUCGAUAGAUUGAAAUUGUUGUUGUGUUGAAAAGUAGGAUUUGAAGCUAUAAAUACAAACUACACUAUAUCUGACUAUAAGUCACAUGUGGUCAUAUACAUGUAGUCAUAUAUAGUCACAUAGUAGUCAUAUAUAGUCACGUGUAGUCAUAUACAUGUAGUCAUAUAUAGUCACGUAUAGUCAUAUACAUGUAGUCAUAUAUAGUCAUGUGUAGUCAUAUAUAGUCACGUGUAGUCAUAUACAUGUAGUCAUAUAUAGUCAUGUGUAGUCAUAUAUAGUCAUGUGUAGUCAUAUAUAGUCACGUGUAGUCAUAUAUAGUCAUGUGUAGUCAUAUAUAGUCACGUGUAGUAACUCGUAGUAAUAUAUUGUUAUAUAUAAGCUAUAUAAGUUAUGUGUUUUUUCUGAUGUACAG
rnacentral:lncRNA from 1 species